ensembl:lncRNA
GCCUACAGAAGGGUGAUGAAGAUGCUCUCUCAGGUUGGACACCACCCCCUUCCCCAAUAAUAAUCGCCAGUUCCAGGCUUACUUCUACCUCCAAAAGCAACAGAAAUUACAGACUAGUCAAGUCUGUCUUGGCAAAGGCUAUGCUGGAUCAACCAUCACUUUGGAAGGAGUAAGGAAUGAGCGCUGUGGCAAUGCACUGAGCUCUGAAAAACAGCUCAGGAUUCAAGUGGCUACUUCUCAAGAGAUUAGAUCAAGCAGUAUAAAACAAAUUCAUUGGAAACACCACAGGUGCUUCCUUGCCCUCCACCUGCCUCCGUCCGGAAAGAAGGAAUAUUAUAUUCACCUUGCAUCAAGUUGUCUCCUGGGCUCCUGUGUUUCAGGCUGCAGUAAAAGUUGGUCUUGGCUUGCUCUCAACUUCCUCCUGCUCGGCUGGAAAAAGAGGAAUAGGAUAGAUGACCCCGGGAGGUGGUAUUUCCCAUUCGGACCUCGCCUCGUCACCUUCCAGGGCAGCCGAGAUUAUCAUAGGGGACUCUUCUCCAGGCAUCGGAAUCUUGUCUUUUUUUUUCUCUUCCAAGCAGGACCGACUAUGAGACCGUUGCGGUUACUUUUGCAGAAGGUCUCUUCAGCAGCCAGGGUAGGGAGCAGGGCCUCUACGCUGCUGAGGACUAACUCAAGAGCUGUGUCUUCAGAAUUUUGGUCAUCGCUGUAGCCUGCAAAACCUGCCAAGCCUUUGGGAACCCCCUCCCCUCCCACAACCAAAUCCCCAAACUUAAUGCUACUGCAGGACUGGGAAGGUCGCCCCCACAGGCUCAUACUGCAAUCCCGAGUACAGGGCCUGGAAGACUCUCCCACUGAAAAAGCCCUUCCUUCCUCAGGCUCUGAUCCUGGCUUGUCCUUCACAGAAGAGGCUUUUUUCCUGUGGCUGUGACAAGGCAGCCGGGCAGCUGUGGACGCUGUGAUGAAACUGCUCAGCCUGCUGAGAGCGGCACAGAGCUAGGAGAGAGCUGGUGCUCCGCAGAGUCAGCAGGAGAGAUAAAGGAAAGCAAAAUCACUGCCCUUUAUGAGGCUGGAGCUUUUUCUUCACCUAGGGAGAGAAGCAGCUUUAUAUUUCACCCCUCACAUACCUGGAAACAAAUAAGUAGAGGUCUGAAUGUUUUUGUCACAGGUCGCCAUCCGUGAGGCUGGCUGAUUAUAUGAUGAAACACAUGCCGGCACUACAGUAUCGUGAACCUUUAAUCUGCCACCUCAGCAUUCACUCUCUGAAAUAACCAGCAGGAAAAUAAGGGUGUAGCAAUUCCCCCUAGCAUUAACAGCAGCAGCGGUGAUUUACAUGGUGCCCUGAAAAAGAGGCUCUUCAACGAAGCGUCAGCUCGGGGAGUUAUUCCACCAUUACGACCCUUUCUCAGUUCUGCUGCGUGCUCUGGUGUUGUCUAGAAAACGCACGCGCCAACCGGUAAAUUCCCUGGCGGGAAUCUCGUGGAUGACAGGCCGAGAGCAACAAACGCGUUUUGAUUCGGCAGCCCUCUAAACGCUUCUCUUUUCCUACUUCCCUGGAGCACAGAACAGAGCUCACGGAAGUAACACUUCCCGUAAGAGCAGAUCGCUCUCCCUCCAGCUCCGCUAACUGAAUUUUGCCUGCUUCUUUCCGGACUUUCCACGGUAGGCGCGCUCCGCGUCGCCGAUGGGCACGCAGCGCCCUUACCAUACCG